CAAUACUAACAUCACAAAUUGUGACCACUCCUAACAGUUUGUGACCACCCUCUCCACUGCCUCCUCCAAUCGUACAAUAGCCAACACCCUCGUCACCACCACCUCUUGACAAAAACAAACCAACACACACCGUCAAAAUCGCCAUCAUGACGGCACCAAUAGAACAAAGUAUAUAAUUGGCCACAACCACUACCGGCACCAUUGAAACAAGGCACCUAUCAUUACUGUAGCAACAUCUUAUCUAGCACCUGCAUCACCAACAAUUCAAUCACGCCACCGACACUACCACACCAUAACCACAAUCCUCACCCAAAAAAUCCUCUACCCUAAAACCACGACUUAGCACAAAUGUGCACGGUGCUCAAUUCACCGCUCCGAUCUGAAAGUCGUCACUUAGAUUAGGGCAUACCAACAAAUACCCAUUCAACAUUGCGCGACGGUUCUCUCUAGUGAUGACGCCACUGCGCAAGUGUUUCGACUGUCGGCGUCACUACGUUGAGAGAACAGAGAUUAGGGAGAAAAGAAUGCGCAGUGCUCAAAUCAUCUGGCCGAACUGAAAAAGCAUCGAUCAGAUUAGGGCGCACCAACAAAUGCUCAUUCAACACCACUACUCACGACGGUUCUCUGCACCAACAAAUGCUCAUUCAACACCACUACUCACGACGGUUCUCUCUGCUGGUGACGUCACCACGUAGGUGGUUCGACUUCGAUGGUAACAUCUCUGCCGCCGAAGACUCUUUUCCUGGGGCGGCACUCCUACUGUUAAGUGAGAAGAGUGAAAGAGUGAGGGGAUUUGUAGUGGUAUUAGUGGAUAAGUUGAAUUAAUACUUGAGUUUUGCUUAAAUAAACCUUGCACCUGAAUUUUGAAUUAGAAAAUUUAAACACCGAUUUUUUUUGUAAUUUCCUCCCAUUCCAAUUCAAACAAUCAAUCCACUCCGCCUCGCCUCCACUGUGCGCUGUCUCUGCUUUCUCCUCAUCUGCUCUCUGUCUGUGUUUGCUGUUUGUUCAAACCCUAGACGGCACGAUCGUAAAUAGGACUUAAGGGUUACUGUAACAGUAGAAGCAGAUGCCGAUGCCAGUAAUUCUUCGGCAGCAACAGAAGAACUGAAGAAGAAGGUAAUUCAAAAAUGGGGAAGCCUUCGACGAAGAAAUUGAGAAAGGUGGAACAAAGUGACAAUGGUUCGGAUUUUGACAGCUACAUGGAAAUUCAAAUGUUACCUGAGAGUGUUAGAGCCUAUUUUUUUCAUUAAUUGAUUGUUUCUUUGUGAUUAUAUUUUGUUUUUAUUUUUUAUGAUGCUUAUUUAUUGUGUUGCUUUAAUCAGUUGAAUAAUUUCAUGGAAGAUGAUAAAGAUGACUAUAGUGAUGAUUAUGAUAAUAACAAAAAGGAUGAGGAUAAUAAUGAUGGUAAUGAUGACCAUGGGAACCAUCAUGAGGAUACUGAUGUUGGGAAUGAGAAUGAAGAUGAGGAGGAGGAGGAGGAAGAAGGAUCUUGAGAAUGACAAUGACGAUGAACAUAAGGGUGCUGAGAUGUAAGAGCUCGAGAAAGAGUAUAAGAAACUUCGAAAUGAGGAGCAGACACAAAUGCAAAUGCAAGUGGUGACCCUGAAGAAUUCUAUCAACAAUUACUAAGGGAGUUUUUGGAGACAAUUGAUCCAGCAUCAUCUGGUAAGAUGCUUUGGCAUUUAAUAUAUACCAUACCAUGCUGAGCAAACGUGAAAUGGAUUUGUUUAGGGUAUGGUCCGUUGUUUUAGACUUAUUACUAUCUUCCCUUUAUAUUUUACGUGCUAUUAGUUAGACUACUUUUGAGGUGGCAGAGUGACAUUAUUUACACAUACCCAAUCUUGUUAUUCGAGGAUUUUUUUAUUUUUUAUUUUUUAUUAACUUCAUUAGGUGUUUAUUGUGUUUCUUUUUCUCCCGAGGAUUUGACAACCUUAAUUUCAAUAUUGAGAUUCUACCUUUUCCGCUAUAUUCACCUCUAGCAUGGUCUUUUUUGAAGGGCAUAUCACUAGAAAAAGAGGAAUUAAUCAAUUUCAAAUUAGCUUACUUUUAUGCAGCUCAAUAUUUCUUUGUUAGUAUUUUAAAUUCCACUUGUUGCCCAUCAAUCCCAUCAACUUGAAAUGGCUACUGAAUCUCUCCCAAACAGUAGCACAAGUUCAUCUUGCACUUUAAUCCCUUCCAAGGAUAUGAAGACAACUUGUCUGCACGAAACCAUAAAUGUAACGGCAAACUCUCCAGCUAUCGAAAUUCCCCAAGCCACCUUCCUUCCAUGAGAGCAUGUUUGGUUUACUUUCUAAGGCAGAACCAAACCUGGUCCGAGUCUUUUCUAAGUUUACGGUCCUAAACAAUUGUCCAUGGAGUUUUAUGGAUAUUUAGAAGUGGCCACUAGCUGAAUAGAAAGAAUUGAUGAAUCGACAACUACUUAUCUAUUUCGAUCUUGAUUGGUGACAAAGACAGCUUUUUAUGCUAUGAAAAGAUUGCAGACAAAGAAAGAAGAAUUGUCGACCGGCAUGCCUCAAAGAGUCGCAAGAUCCGGUAAGUUGCCAACGGGUUCAUUAUGUAGUUGAUUCUUGACUCAUCCCAAUAUGCAUUUUUACAGUUGUCUAAAUUCCUUGGGCUUGAUAAUGCCGGUAUCAUGUUCAUGAAAAGAUUGUCAAUUUUAUGGCACAUCAGCCUAUGAAUCUUCCGCCUGAUGCAUCCAUGAUAUUUCAAAAUUUGUUUGGCCUCAGAACCCAGAAAUCUGCUUCAGUGGUAUAGCCGACUUUCUAUGCUGCAAAACCAUGUGAGAAUAUGUAGGCUUGGAAUUUCAUUUUUGGUCCACGUGUUUAAAUAAUGGCCAUAGAAUCAAACUUUCAAGUAUUAUUUUGACAUCUUUGUUUAAAGGUUCUAUGGGAAAAAUGUGCUCUUUGAUGGUUUCCAAUGGUGUUAGAUGUUCCUUCGAAUGGCAAUGGUCCAAUGGAUAUGGCCUCUGUAAUUUCGACUAUGAGACGGAUAGAGUGAAAAAA